GACGAACGCUGGCGGCGUGCCUAAUACAUGCAAGUCGAACGCAGUGGGGACGGGUGAGUAACACGUGGGUAACCUCCCAUCAGAGGGGAUAACACUUGGAUACAGGUGCUAAACCGAUACUGAUGGAUGGACCCGGUGUGCAUUCGCUAGUUGGUGGGGUAACGGCUCACCAAGGCCACGAUGCAUAGCAGACCUGAGAGGGUGACCGGCCACACUGGAACUGAGACACGGCCCAGACUCCUACGGGAGGCAGCAGUAGGGAAUCUUCGGCAAUGGGCGAAAGUCUGACCGAGCAACGCCGCGUGAAUGAAGAAGGUUUUCGGAUCGUAAAGCUCUGUUGUUAGAGAAGCGGUAUCUAACCAGAAAGCCACGGCUAACUACGUGCCAGCAGCCGCGGUAAUUC
rnacentral:rRNA from 1 species